GAGCAAUGAUAGAUUUCUGCGCUCGUAGUGAUUGGUUGGGUCCAUCACAGCCGUCUGAUUCCCAGACGGAUAAGACGCGCAUCUGAGCUC
rfam:Zea mays cultivar B73 chromosome 7, whole genome shotgun sequence.